GUCCCUUGGGGGAUAUCCGAUAAAAUUGGAAUGAUACAGAGAAGAUUAGUAUGGCCCCUGCGAAAGGAUGACACAUACAAAUUGAAGUGUAUGAGAAACUU